rnacentral:rRNA from 1 species
UACGGGGGGGGCAAGCGGUUGUUCGGAAUUACUGGGCGUAAAGGGCUCGUAGGCGGCCAACUAAGUCAUACGUGAAAUCCCUCGGCUUAACCGGGGAACUGCGUCUGAUACUGGAUGGCUUGAGUUCGGGAGAGGGAUGCGGAAUUCCAGGUGUAGCGGUGAAAUGCGUAGAUAUCUGGAGGAACACCGGUGGCGAAGGCGGCAUCCUGGACCGAUACUGACGCUGAGGAGCGGAAGCCAGGGGAGCAAACAGG